rnacentral:rRNA from 1 species
UACGUAGGGGGCAAGCGUUGUCCGGAAUUACUGGGCGUAAAGCGCACGUAGGCGGCUUUGUAAGUUAGAGGUGAAAGCCCGGAGCUCAACUCCGGAAUUGCCUUUAAGACUGCAUCGCUAGAAUUGUGGAGAGGUGAGUGGAAUUCCGAGUGUAGAGGUGAAAUUCGUAGAUAUUCGGAAGAACACCAGUGGCGAAGGCGACUCACUGGACACAUAUUGACGCUGAGGUGCGAAAGCGUGGGGAGCAAACAGG